rnacentral:rRNA from 1 species
CAGUCGCCGCGGUAAUACGAAGGGGGCUAGCGUUGUUCGGAAUCACUGGGCGUAAAGCGCACGUAGGCGGACCUUUAAGUCAGGGGUGAAAGCCUGGAGCUCAACUCCAGAACUGCCUUUGAUACUGGAGGUCUCGAGUGUGGAAGAGGUUGGUGGAACUGCGAGUGUAGAGGUGAAAUUCGUAGAUAUUCGCAAGAACACCAGUGGCGAAGGCGGCCAACUGGUCCAUUACUGACGCUGAGGUGCGAAAGCGUGGGGAGCAAACUGGAUUAGAUACCCCGGUAGUCCCUGUCUCUUAUAU